rnacentral:rRNA from 1 species
UACGUAGGGGGCUAGCGUUGUCCGGAUUUAUUGGGCGUAAAGAGCGUGUAGGCGGCCUGGUAGGUCUGCUGUGAAAACUCGAGGCUCAACCUCGAGAUGUCGGCGGAAACCAUCUGGCUAGAGUCCGGAAGAGGAGAGUGGAAUUCCUGGUGUAGCGGUGAAAUGCGCAGAUAUCAGGAAGAACACCUAUGGCGAAGGCAGCUCUCUGGGACGGUACUGACGCUGAGGUGCGAAAGCGUGGGGAGCAAACAGG